GUGAAUGGGAGUUUGCUCAUGAUUUGGCUCUCUGUUUGUCUAUUAUUGGUGUAUAGGAAUGCUUGUGAUUUUUGCACAUUGAUUUUUUAUCCUGAGACUUUGCUGAAGUUGCUUAUCAGCUAAAGGAGUUUUUGGGCAGAGACAACGAGGUCUUCUAAAUAUACAAUCAUGUCAUCUGCAAACAGAAAUACUUCGACUUCUUCUCUUCCUAUUUGAAUACGCUUUAUUUCUCUCUCUUGCCUGAUUGCCCUGGCCAGAACUUCCAAUACUAUGUUGAAUAGGAAUGGUGAGAGAGGGCAUCCUUGUCUUGUGCCGGUUUUCAAAGGGAAUUCUUCCAGCUUUUGCCCAUUCAGGAUGAUAUUGGCUGUGGGUUUCUCAUAAAUAGCUCUUAUUAUUUUGAGAUAUGUUGCAUCAAUACCAGUUUAUUCAAUGUUUUUAGCAUGAAGGGGUGUUGAAUUUUAUUGAAGGCCUUUUCUCCAUUUAUUGAGCUAAUCAUGUGGUUUUUGUCAUUGGUUCUGUUUUUGUGAUGGAUUACGUUUAUUGAUCUGCAUAUGUUGAACCAGCCUUGCAUCCCAGGGAUGAAGCUGACUUGGUAGUGGUGGAUAAGCUUUUUAAUGUGCUGCUGGAUUCGUUUUGCCAGUAUUUUACUGAGGAUUUUCGCACCUCAGGAAUAUUAGCCUGAAAUUUUCUUUUUUUGUUGUGUCUCUGCCAGGUUUUGGUAUCAGGAUGAUGCUGGCCUCAUAAAAUGAGUUUGGGAGGAGUCCCUCUUUUUCUAUUGCUUGGAAUAGUUUCAGAAGGAAUGGUUACCAGCUCCUCUUUGUACCUCUGGUAGAAUUCAGCUGUGAAUCCAUCUGGUCAUGGGCUUUUUUUGGUUGGUAGGCUACUAAUUACUGCCUCAGUUUCAGAACUUGUUAUUGGUCUAUUCAGGGAUGCAAUUACUUCCUGGUUUAGUCUUGGGAGGGUGUAUGUGUCCAGGAAUUUAUCCAUUUCUUCUAGAUUUUCUAGUUUAUUUGCGUAGAGGUGUUUAUAGUAUUCUCUGAUGGUAGUUUGUAUUUCUGUGGGAUCAGUGGUGAUAUUCCCUUUAUCAUUUUUUAUUGUGUCUAUUUGAUUCUUCUCUCUUUUCUUCUUUAUUAGUCUGGCUAGCAGACUAUCUAUUUUGUUAAUCUUUUCAAAAAACCAGCCCCUGGAUACACUGAUUGUUUUGAAGGGUUUUUCAUGUCUCUAUCUCCUGCAGUUCUGCUCUGAUCUUAGUUAUUUCUUGUCUUCUGCUAACUUUUGAAUUUGUUUGUUAUUGCUUCUCUAGUUCUUUUAAUUGUGAUGUUAGGGUGUCAAUUCUGGAUAUUUCCCAUUUUCUCCUGUGGGCAUUUAGUGCCAUAAAUUUCCCUCUAAACACUGCUUUAGCUGUGUGCGGAAGAUUCUGGUAUGUUGUGUCUUUGUUCUCAUUGGUUUCAAAGAACUUAUUUAUUUCUACCUUAAUUUUGUUAUUUACUCAGUAGUCACUCAGGAGCAGGUUGUUCAAUUUCCAUGUAGUUUUGCAGUUUUUGAAUGAGUUUCUUAAUCCUGAGUUCUAAUUUGAUUGCACUGUGGUCUGAGGGACUGUUUGUUAUGAAUUCUGUUCUUUUGCAUUUGCUGAGGAGGGUUUUGCUUCCAAUUAUGUGGUCAAUUUUAGAAUAAGUGCUAUGUGGUGCUGAGAAGAAUGUAUAUUCUGAUGAUUUGGGGUGGAGAGUUCUGUGGGUGUCUAUUAGGUCCACUUGGUCCAGAGCUGAGUUCAAGUCCUGAACAUCCCUGUUAAUUUUCUGUCUCGUUGAUCUGUCUAAUAUUGACAGUGGGGUGUUAAAGUCUUCCACUAUUAUUGUGUGGGAGUCUAAGUCUCUUUGUAGGUCUCUAAGAACUUACUUUAUGAAUCUGGGUGCUCCUGUAUUGGGUGCAUAUAUAUAUAUACAUACAUACAUAUACAUAUAUACACACACACACACACAUUUAGGAUAGUUAGCUCUUCUUAUUGCAUUGAUCCCCUUACCAUUAUGUAAUGCCCUACUUUGUCUUUUCGAUCUUUGUUAGUUUAACAUCUAUUUUUUUUUUUUCAAUUUGAGAGCAGGUCCUGUUUAUUAACUGACCAGCUUAGAAAAAUAAUCAUGGUAGGCAACUUAGAUCAUUCUUCUAAUAAGCCUGUUGAUCUGGUCCUCCCUGUUG
rnacentral:lncRNA from 1 species